rnacentral:rRNA from 1 species
UACGGGGGGAGCAAGCGUUGUUCGGAUUUACUGGGCGUAAAGAGCUCGUAGGUGGUUUGUCGCGUUGUUCGUGAAAACUCACGGCUUAACUGUGAGCGUGCGGGCGAUACGGGCAGACUAGAGUACUGCAGGGGAGACUGGAAUUCCUGGUGUAGCGGUGGAAUGCGCAGAUAUCAGGAGGAACACCGAGUGGCGAAGGCGGAUCUCU